GAAAAUGAUGAGAUCUCUAUGGAAUCUCGUUCGUCUGAACUGCUGUUGAUAAAUUAAACCUCUGACAUCG